rnacentral:rRNA from 1 species
UAUCUCUGUAGAGUCUGCAUAUCAAUAAGCGGAGGAAAAGAAACUAACAAGGAUUCCCUUAGUAACGGCGAGUGAAGCGGGAAGAGCUCAAAUUUGAAAUCUUCAAGGUUUACCUUGACGAAUUGUAGUUUAAAGAAGUGUUUUCUGUUAGAGAGUUCGGUAAAAGUUCCUUGGAAUAGGGACAUCAUAGAGGGUGAGGAAUCCCGUAUUUGACCGUUAUUCAUUCUAGCUGUGUGAUACACUUUCAAAGAGUCGGAUUGUUUGGGAAUGCAGUCCAAAAUGGGUGGUAAAUUUCAUCUAAAGCUAAAUAUUGGCGAGAGACCGAUAGCGAACAAGUACCGUGAGGGAAAGAUGAAAAGAACUUUGAAAAGAGAGUUAAACAGUACGUGAAAUUGUCAAAAGGGAAGCGUUUGACACCAGUGUUGUUUUCUCGAAAAUCAAUUAAAAAUGGCAGUGAUUUUGUGUUGUAUUGACCUUAUAAGCUUUCUGCACUUUUUCUAUGUCUUUUUUAAUGCACUUUUCGUUUAACAAGUCAACAUCAAUUUCUUUUGUUGUAAAAGGGUCAUUGGAAGGUGGCUUUCUUUUCGGAGAAAGUGUUUAUAGCCUUUGACUUCUGCAAUCGGAGAGACUGAGGUCUGCAGCGUAGAUCCUUCGGGAUUAGAUUCAGUUAGAUGCUAAGUUACUACCGUUUUUAUAGACAACUUGUUGACUAUAAUUCGAUCCUGUAGCUUACUCGCUUAUGGUAUUUUACCUACGCUUAGGAUGUUGAAGAUGUAGCACAUCAU